rnacentral:rRNA from 1 species
GACGAACGCUGGCGGCGUGCUUAACACAUGCAAGUCGAGCGGAAAGGCCACUUCGGUGGUACUCGAGCGGCGAACGGGUGAGUAACACGUGAGUAAUCUGCCCCUGGCUUUGGGAUAGCCACCGGAAACGGUGAUUAAUACCGGAUACGACCACUUCUCGCAUGGGAUGGUGGUGGAAAGUUUUUUCGGCCAGGGAUGUGCUCGCGGCCUUUGAGCUUGAUGGUGAGGUAAUGGCUCACCAUGGCUUCGACGGGUAGCCGGCCUGAGAGGGUGAACGGGCACACUGGGACUGAGACACGGCACAGACUCCUACGGGAGGCAGCGGGGGGGAAUAUUGGACAACGGGCGGAAGUCUGUGCCGGCAGCGCCGCGUGAGGGGUGACGGGCUUCGGGUUGUAACCCUCUUUCAGCAGGGACGAAGCGCAAGUGACGGUACCUGCAGAAGAAGCACCGGCCAACUACGUGCCAGCAGCCGCCGUAA